rnacentral:rRNA from 1 species
GACGAACGCUGGCGGCGUGCUUAACACAUGCAAGUCGAACGGAAAGGCCCUGCUUUUGUGGGGUGCUCGAGUGGCGAACGGGUGAGUAACACGUGAGUAACCUGCCCUUGACUUUGGGAUAACUUCAGGAAACUGGGGCUAAUACCGGAUAGGAGCUCCUGCUGCAUGGUGGGGGUUGGAAAGUUUCGGCGGUUGGGGAUGGACUCGCGGCAUAUCAGCUUGUUGGUGGGGUAGUGGCUUACCAAGGCAUUGACGGGUAGCCGGCCUGAGAGGGUGACCGGCCACAGUGGGGCUGAGAUACCGCCCAGACUCCUGCGGGAGGCAACCGUGGGGAAUAUCGCACCAUGGGGGGCGGCCUGAUGCAGCAACGCUGCGUGCGGGAUGACUGCCUUCGGGUUGUAAACCGCUUUCGGCUGAGACGAAGCGUGCGUGACGGUAAUUGGUCAAGAUGAACCGGCUAACUGCCUG